UGCAAGUCGAACGGAAAGGCCCUGCUUGCAGGGUACUCGAGUGGCGAACGGGUGAGUAACACGUGGGUGAUCUGCCCUGCACUUCGGGAUAAGCCUGGGAAACUGGGUCUAAUACCGGAUAGGACCAUUGGUUGGUACUGGUGGUGGAAAGUUUUUCGGUGCAGGAUGAGCUCGCGGCCUAUCAGCUUGUUGGUGGGGUAAUGGCCUACCAAGGCGUCGACGGGUAGCCGGCCUGAGAGGGUGGACGGCCACAUUGGGACUGAGACACGGCCCAGACUCCUACGGGAGGCAGCAGUGGGGAAUAUUGCACAAUGGGCGCAAGCCUGAUGCAGCGACGCCGCGUGGGGGAUGACGGCCUUCGGGUUGUAAACUCCUUUCAACCAUGACGAAGCUUUCGGGUGACGGUAGUGGUAGAAGAAGCACCGGCUAACUAC
rnacentral:rRNA from 1 species